GACAAUCCGCUAGAAAGAGUGGGCUCGCGUCCGAGUUAGGUAGUUGGUGAGAUAACAGCCCACCAAGCCGACGAUCGGUAGCCGGACUGAGAGGUUGAACGGCCACAGUUGGGACUGAGACACCGGCCCAGACUCCGUACGGGGAGGCAGCAGUGGAGGGAUAUUGGUCAAUGGGGGAAACCCUGAACCAGCAACGCCGCGUGAGGGAUGACGGUCUUCGGAUUGUAAACCUCUGUCCUCUGUGAAGAUAAUGACGGUAGCAGAGGAGGAAGCUCCGGCUAACUACGUGCC
rnacentral:rRNA from 1 species